UAGGGAAUCUUCCACAAUGGGCGCAAGCCUGAUGGAGCAACACCGCGUGAGUGAAGAAGGUUUUCGGAUCGUAAAACUCUGUUGGUAGAGAAGAACGUUGGUGAGAGUGGAAAGCUCAUCAAGUGACGGUAACUACCCAGAAAGGGACGGCUAACUACGUGCUAG
rnacentral:rRNA from 1 species